AGUGAUUGACUUUCCAUAACAAGUAUCAACAUGUUUGCAAUCUAGCAUACUGGUUUCUUCCAGUUUAUACAAUACACACUUCCUUUGUGAAAUGGCGAUACCACUACUAGAUUAUGCCACCUCAAUGUCUAGAAAAUAUUUCAAUUCCAAAAUCUUUAGUCUAGAAAUGACUAGUGAGAUGUUGUUUGAAUUGAAUAAUGUGUUCAUGAACAUCACCUAUUAUGACAAUAUCAUCAACAUAAACUAU
rnacentral:misc_RNA from 1 species